rnacentral:tRNA from 1 species
GCGGGGGUACCCAAGCCCGGUCAAUGCUAGAGGCGGGCGGCUUCCGGGGGCAGACUCAAGAUCUGCUCGUUUAGGCGUUCGUGGGUUCAAAUCCCACCCCCCGCACCA